rnacentral:sRNA from 1 species
GGUUCCCCACAGAGAAGAGGCCCUCUGACCUCAGGCUCCGAUGAAGAAAAUGUUGCCCUGCCUCUGGGUGACAGUGUGCUGACUCAUAACCUGGGGAUCCCGGUGUUGGUGGUGUGCACAAAGUGUGAUGCGGUGAGUGUCCUGGAGAAGGAGCACGAUUACAGGGAUGAGCAUUUGGACUUUAUCCAGUCACACCUGCGGAGGUUCUGCCUUCAGUUGAAAGAAGAGAAAAACCUCGACUUGUUGUAUAAGUAUAUUGUUCAUAAAACAUACGGUUUCCACUUCACCACACCUGCCUUAGUUGUGGAAAAGGAUGCCGUUUUUAUACCUGCAGGCUGGGACAAUGAAAAGAAAAUAGCUAUUUUACAUGAAAAUUUUACAACCGUGAAGCCGGAAGAUGCAUAUGAAGACUUUAUUGUGAAACCUCCCGUGAGAAAGCUGGUCCACGACAAAGAGUUGGCAGCAGAAGAUGAGCAGGUGUUCCUAAUGAAGCAACAGUCACUCCUUGCCAAGCAACCAGCCACGCCCACGAGAGCUUCUGUGAGUACCUUACACUAAACAGAGGGUCAAGGCCCAGUGUUGUGGGUGUCAUCAAACUUUAUACCAUUAUUUGUGAGAGCGUAUAUUUGUGUGGGUUUUGUAUUUUCAGUGGGAAUUUGGUUUCCCUAAAGACCCAUGACCAGAAACAUAAAGGAAACUCAAGAAGUUUCUGAUGAAAGAAUACAACUCUGGGAAUUACAGUGA